rnacentral:rRNA from 1 species
GACGAACGCUGGCGGCGUGCCUAAUACAUGCAAGUCGGACGCAGUUGCGAACGGGUGAGAAACGCGUAGGUAACUAUCUAUUAGAGGGGGAUAACUAUUGGAAACGCUAGCUAAUACCGCAUACUAGUAGAUGGACCUGCGGUGUAUUAGCUAGUAGGUUGGGUAAAGGCCUACCUAGGCAACGGAUCAUAGCUGAGCUGGGAGGGAGGUCGGGCACCACGGGACUGGGGAACGGGCCCGGCUCCUUCGGGUGGGAGCAGGAGGGGAACUUCGGAAAAUGGGAGAACCCUGACCGUGCCACGGCGCGGUAGUGGAGAAGGUUUUCGGAUCGUAAAGCUUUGUUGUUAAGUGAACGGUACUUAACCAGAAAGGAACGGCUAACUACGUGCCAGCAGCCGCGGUAAUUC